AUUGAACGCUGGCGGCAGGCCUAACACAUGCAAGUCGAGCGGAGCGGCGGACGGGUGAGUAAUGCCUAGGAAUCUGCCUGGUAGUGGGGGAUCAAUUCCGGAAGCGGACGCUAAUACCGCAUACGAGCAGAUGAGUCUCGGUGGGAUUAGCUAGUUGGUGGGGUAAUGGCUUACCAAGGCGACGAACCGUAACUGGUCUGAGAGGAUGAUCAGUCACACUGGAACUGAGACACGGUCCAGACUCCUACGGGAGGCAGCAGUGGGGAAUAUUGGACAAUGGGCGAAAGCCUGAUCCAGCCAUGCCGCGUGUGUGAAGAAGGUCUUCGGAUUGUAAAGCACUUUAAGUUGGGAGGCGUUACCAACAGAAUAAGCACCGGCUAACUACGUGCCAGCAGCCGCGGUAAUUC
rnacentral:rRNA from 1 species